GAUGAACGCUGGCGGCGUGCCUAAUACAUGCAAGUCGAGCGAACAGACGAGGAGCUUGCUCCUCUGACGUUAGCGGCGGACGGGUGAGUAACACGUGGAUAACCUACAUAUAAGACUGGGAUAACUUCGGGAAACCGGAGCUAAUACCGGAUAAUAUAUUGAACCGCAUGGUUCAAUAGUGAAAGACGGUUUUGCUGUCACUUAUAGAUGGAUCCGCGCCGCAUUAGCUAGUUGGUAAGGUAACGGCUUACCAAGGCAACGAUGCGUAGCCGACCUGAGAGGGUGAUCGGCCACACUGGAACUGAGACACGGUCCAGACUCCUACGGGAGGCAGCAGUAGGGAAUCUUCCGCAGUGGGCGAAAGCCUGACGGAGCAACGCCGCGUGAGUGAUGAAGGUCUUCGGAUCGUAAAACUCUGUUAUUAGGGAAGAACAAAUGUGUAAGUAACUAUGCACGUCUUGACGGUACCUAAUCAGAAAGCCACGGCUAACUACGUG
rnacentral:rRNA from 1 species